GUUGCUAGGUGGUUGCUAAGGUGUUGCUUUGGUAUCCGGGGUGGUUGGUAUGGUGUUGCUAAGUGAUUGCUAGGUGGUUGCUAAGGUGUUGCUUUGGUAUCCGGGGUGGUUGGUAUGGUGUUGCUAAGUGGUUGCUAGGUGGUUGCUAAGGUGUUGCUAGGUGGUUGCUUACGACAAAGAACUGUUAACAAAUGCUUGUUAUCCUUUAUUCCUGGAUUUUAGCAUAUGCUCUAUGACAAAUAAUAU